AUGUUCCUGUCUGUCUGUCUUUGUUCUGUCUGUCUGUCUAUGUUCCUGUCUGUCUGUCUUUGUUCUGUCUGUCUAUGUUCCUGUCUGCCUAUGUACCUGCCUGUCUGCCUGUGUACCUGUCUGUCUGCCUAUGUACAUGUCUGUCUGUCUGUCUGUCUGUCUGUCUGUGUAUGUAUCUUUCUGUCUAUGUUCCUGUCUGUCUGUCUGCCUGUCUAUGUUCCUGUCUGUCUAUGUCUGUCUGUCUGCCUAUGUGUCUGUCUGUCUAUGUGUCUGUCUGUCUAUGUUCCUGUCUGUCUGUCUAUGUUCCUGUCUGUCUGUCUUUGUUCUGUCUGUCUGUCUAUGUUCCUGUCUUCCUAUGUACCUGCCUGUCUGCCUAUGUACCUGUCUGUCUGCCUAUGUACCUGUCUGUCUGUCUGUCUGUCUAUGUACCUGUCUGUCUAUGUUCCUGUCUGUCUUUGUUCCUGUCUGUCUGUCUGUCUGUCUAUGUACCUGUCUGUCUAUGUACCUGUCUGUCUGUCUGUCUGCCUAUGUACCUGUCUGUCUAUGUGCCUGUCUGCCUGUCUAUGUCUGUCUGUCUAUGUUCCUGUCUGUCUGUCUGUUUGUCUGUCUGUCUAUGUGUCUGUCUAUGUGUCUGUCUAUGUUCCUGUCUGUCUGUCUGUCUGUCUGUCUGUCUGUCUGUCUGUCUGUCUGUCUGUGUUCCUGUCUGUUUGUCUGUGUUCCUGUCUGUCUGUCUAUGUACCUGUCUGUCUGUUCAUGAACCUGUCUGUCUGUCUAUGUUCCUGUCUGUCUGUCUAUGUUCCUGUCUGUCUCUCUGUCUAUUCCUGUCUGUCUGUCUGUCUGUCUGUCUGUCUGUCUGUCUGUCUGUCUGUCUGUCUGUCUGUGUUCCUGUCUGUCUAUGUUCCUGCCUAUCUGUCUGUCUGUAUAUAUACCUGUCUGUCUAUGUCUGUCUGUGUUCCUGUCUGUCUGUCUGUGUUCCUAUCUGUCUGUGUUCCUGUCUGUCUGUGUUCCUGUCUGUCUGUCUGUCUGUCUAUGUACCUGUCUGUGUUCCUGUCUAUGUUCCUGUCUCUCUAUGUAUGUCUGUCUGUCUGUGUUCCUGUCUUUGUACCUGUCUCUCUGUCUAUGUCUGUCUGUCUGUCUAUAUACCUGUCUGUCUGUCUGUCUGUUCCUGUCUGUCUGUUUUGGUGA
rnacentral:lncRNA from 1 species